CGGUUAAGUUAGAAAGGGCGCACGGUGGAUGCCUUGGCACUAGGAGCCGAUGAAGGACGGGACGAACACCGAUAUGCUUCGGGGAGCUGUAAGCAAGCUUUGAUCCGGAGAUUUCCGAAUGGGGAAACCCACCACUCGUAAUGGAGUGGUAUCCAUAUCUGAAUACAUAGGAUAUGAGAAGGCAGACCCGGGGAACUGAAACAUCUAAGUACCCGGAGGAAGAGAAAGCAAAUGCGAUUCCCUGAGUAGCGGCGAGCGAAACGGGACCAGCCCAAACCAAGAGGCUUGCCUCUUGGGGUUGUAGGACACUCUGUACGGAGUUACAAAGGAACGAGGUAGAUGAAGAGGUCUGGAAAGGCCCGCCAUAGAAGGUAACAGCCCUGUAGUCAAAACUUCGUUCUCUCCUGAGUGGAUCCUGAGUACGGCGGAACACGUGAAAUUCCGUCGGAAUCCGGGAGGACCAUCUCCCAAGGCUAAAUACUCCCUAGUGACCGAUAGUGAACCAGUACCGUGAGGGAAAGGUGAAAAGCACCCGGAAGGGGAGUGAAAGAGAUCCUGAAACCGUGUGCCUACAAGUAGUCAGAGCCCGUUAAUGGGUGAUGGCGUGCCUUUUGUAGAAUGAACCGGCGAGUUACGAUCCCGUGCAAGGUUAAGCAGAAGAUGCGGAGCCGCAGCGAAAGCGAGUCUGAAUAGGGCGAAUUGAGUACGUGGUCGUAGACCCGAAACCAGGUGAUCUACCCAUGUCCAGGGUGAAGUUCAGGUAACACUGAAUGGAGGCCCGAACCCACGCACGUUGAAAAGUGCGGGGAUGAGGUGUGGGUAGGGGUGAAAUGCCAAUCGAACCUGGAGAUAGCUGGUUCUCUCCGAAAUAGCUUUAGGGCUAGCCUCAAGGUAAGAGUCUCGGAGGUAGAGCACUGAUUGGACUAGGGGCCCCUACCGGGUUACCGAAUUCAGUCAAACUCCGAAUGCCGAUGACUUAUCCUUGGGAGUCAGACUGCGAGUGAUAAGAUCCGUAGUCGAAAGGGAAACAGCCCAGACCGCCAGCUAAGGUCCCAAAGUAUACGUUAAGUGGAAAAGGAUGUGGAGUUGCUUAGACAACCAGGAUGUUGGCUUAGAAGCAGCCACCAUUUAAAGAGUGCGUAAUAGCUCACUGGUCGAGUGACUCUGCGCCGAAAAUGUACCGGGGCUAAACGUAUCACCGAAGCUGCGGACUGUUCUUCGAACAGUGGUAGGAGAGCGUUCUAAGGGCUGUGAAGCAAGACCGGAAGGACUUGUGGAGCGCUUAGAAGUGAGAAUGCCGGUAUGAGUAGCGAAAGAGGGGUGAGAAUCCCCUCCACCGAAUGCCUAAGGUUUCCUGAGGAAGGCUCGUCCGCUCAGGGUUAGUCGGGACCUAAGCCGAGGCCGAAAGGCGUAGGCGAUGGAUAACAGGUUGAUAUUCCUGUACCACCUCCUCACCAUUUGAGCAAUGGGGGGACGCAGGAGGAUAGGGUAAGCGCGGUAUUGGAUAUCCGCGUCCAAGCAGUUAGGCUGGGAAAUAGGCAAAUCCGUUUCCCGUGAAGGCUGAGCUGUGAUGGCGAGCGAAUUAUAGUAGCGAAGUUCCUGAUUCCACACUGCCAAGAAAAGCCUCUAGCGAGGUGAGAGGUGCCCGUACCGCAAACCGACACAGGUAGGCGAGGAGAGAAUCCUAAGGUGAUCGAGAGAACUCUCGUUAAGGAACUCGGCAAAAUGACCCCGUAACUUCGGGAGAAGGGGUGCUCUGUUAGGGUGCAAGCCCGAGAGAGCCGCAGUGAAUAGGCCCAGGCGACUGUUUAGCAAAAACACAGGUCUCUGCGAAGCCGUAAGGCGAAGUAUAGGGGCUGACGCCUGCCCGGUGCUGGAAGGUUAAGAGGAGCGCUUAGCGUAAGCGAAGGUGCGAAUUGAAGCCCCAGUAAACGGCGGCCGUAACUAUAACGGUCCUAAGGUAGCGAAAUUCCUUGUCGGGUAAGUUCCGACCCGCACGAAAGGCGCAACGAUCUGGGCACUGUCUCAACGAGAGACUCGGUGAAAUUAUAGUACCUGUGAAGAUGCAGGUUACCCGCGACAGGACGGAAAGACCCCGUGGAGCUUUACUGCAGCCUGAUAUUGAAUGUUGGUACAGCUUGUACAGGAUAGGUAGGAGCCUUGGAAACCGGAGCGCCAGCUUCGGUGGAGGCAUCGGUGGGAUACUACCCUGGCUGUAUUGACCUUCUAACCCGCCGCCCUUAUCGGGCAGGGAGACAGUGUCAGGUGGGCAGUUUGACUGGGGCGGUCGCCUCCUAAAAGGUAACGGAGGCGCCCAAAGGUUCCCUCAGAAUGGUUGGAAAUCAUUCGCAGAGUGUAAAGGCACAAGGGAGCUUGACUGCGAGACCUACAAGUCGAGCAGGGACGAAAGUCGGGCUUAGUGAUCCGGUGGUUCCGCAUGGAAGGGCCAUCGCUCAACGGAUAAAAGCUACCCCGGGGAUAACAGGCUUAUCUCCCCCAAGAGUCCACAUCGACGGGGAGGUUUGGCACCUCGAUGUCGGCUCAUCGCAUCCUGGGGCUGUAGUCGGUCCCAAGGGUUGGGCUGUUCGCCCAUUAAAGCGGUACGCGAGCUGGGUUCAGAACGUCGUGAGACAGUUCGGUCCCUAUCCGUCGCGGGCGCAGGAAAUUUGAGAGGAGCUGUCCUUAGUACGAGAGGACCGGGAUGGACGCACCGCUGGUGUACCAGUUGUUCUGCCAAGGGCAUCGCUGGGUAGCUAUGUGCGGACGGGAUAAGUGCUGAAAGCAUCUAAGCAUGAAGCCCCCCUCAAGAUGAGAUUUCCCAUUCCGCAAGGAAGUAAGAUCCCUGAAAGAUGAUCAGGUUGAUAGGUCUGAGGUGGAAGUGUGGCGACACAUGGAGCUGACAGAUACUAAUCGAUCGAGGACUUAACCAAUUU
rnacentral:rRNA from 1 species